rnacentral:rRNA from 1 species
GCCCCAGACUCCUACGGGAGGCAGCAGUCGGGAAUAUUGCGCAAUGGAGGAAACUCUGACGCAGUGACGCCGCGUAUAGGACGAAGGUCUUCGGAUUGUAAACUAUUGUCGUUAGGGAAGAGAAAGGACAGUACCUAAGGAGGAAGCUCCGGCUAACUACGUGCCAGCAGCCGCGGUAAUACGUAGGGAGCGAGCGUUAUCCGGAUUUAUUGGGUGUAAAGGGUGCGUAGAUGGAUAAACAAGUUAGUUGUGAAAUCCCUCGGCUUAACUGAGGAAUUGCAACCAAAACUGCAGAUCUUGAGUACUGGAGGGGAAAGCGGAAUUCCUAGUGUAGCGGUGAAAUGCGUAGAUAUUAGGAAGAACACCGGUGGCGAAGGCGGCUUUCUGGACAGAAACUGACAUUGAGGCACGAAAGUGUGGGGAGCAAACAGGAUUAGAUACCCGAGUA